CAGCCCCUCGAGUGGUGGGGAUGAUUAUUUGGCCUAAAGCGUCCGUAGCCGGCCGAGUAAGUCCCCCGUUAAAUCCAGCGUCUCAAGCGUUGGACUGCGGGAGAUACUACUUGGCUAGAGAGUGGGAGAGGUCAGCGGUAUUCUGGGGGUAGGGGCGAAAUCCUUUGAUCCCCGGAGGACCACCAGUGGCGAAGGCUGCUGACUAGAACACGUCUGACGGUCAGGGACGAAAGCUGGGGUAGCGAACCGGAUUAGAUACCCGAGUAGUC
rnacentral:rRNA from 1 species